UGGGGAAUAUUGNGAANUNNNNGGGAACCCUGACGCAGCCAUGCCGCGUGAAUGCCAUUNAGGACUUAGGGUUGUAAAGUUCUUUCGGUAUUGAGGAAGGUUGAUGUGUUAAUAGCACAUCAAAUUGACGUUAAAUACAGAAGAAGCACCGGCUAACUCCGUGCCAGCAGCCGCGGUAAUACGGAGGGUGCGAGCGUUAAUCGGAAUAACUGGGCGUAAAGGGCACGCAGGCGGUUAUUUAAGUGAGGUGUGAAAGCCCCGGGCUUAACCUGGGAAUUGCUUUUCAGACUGGGUAACUAGAGUACUUUAGGGAGGGGUAGAAUUCCACGUGUAGCGGUGAAAUGCGUAGAGAUGUGGAGGAAUACCGAAGGCGAAGGCAGCCCCUUGGGAAUGUACUGACGCUCAUGUGCGAAAGCGUGGGGAGCAAACAGGAUUAGAUACCCUGGUAGUCCACGCUGUAAACGCUGUCGAUUUGGGGGUUGGGGUUUAACUCUGGCGCCCGUAGCUAACGUGANAAAUCGAACCGCCUGGGGAGUACGGACGCAAGGUUA
rnacentral:rRNA from 1 species